AAUUACCCACUCCCAGCACGGGGAGGUAGUGACGAAAAAUAACGAUACGGGACUCAUCCGAGGCCCCGUAAUCGGAAUGAGUAUACUUUAAAACUUUUCCCGAGGAUCAAUUGGAGGGUAAGUCUGGUGCCAGCAGCCGCGGUAAUUCCAGCUCCAAUAGCGUAUAUUAAAGUUGUUGCGGUUAAAAAGCUCGUAGUCGAAUCUGUGUCCCGUGCCGCUGGUUCAUCGCUCGCGGUGUCCAACUGGCGUGUCUCGCGGGACGUCCUGCCGGUGGGCGCUCGUAUCGUUUCGGCGGUGCGAGGCCCAACUCGUAGCCGUCUCGCGCGGUUGCGAAUCCCAUCGCGGUGCUCUUUAUUGAGUGUCGAGGUGGGCCGGCACGUUUACUUUGAACAAAUUAGAGUGCUUAAAGCAGGCCAAUUUUGCCUGAAUAUUGUGUGCAUGGAAUAAUGGAAUAGGACCUCGGUUCUAUUUUGUUGGUUUUCGGAACCCCGAGGUAAUGAUUAAUAGGAACGGAUGGGGGCAUUCGUAUUGCGACGUUAGAGGUGAAAUUCUUGGAUCGUCGCAAGACGGACAGAAGCGAAAGCAUUUGCCAAAAACGCUUUCAUUGAUCAAGAACGAAAGUUAGAGGUUCGAAGGCGAUCAGAUACCGCCCUAGUUCUAACCAUAAACGAUGCCAGCUAGCGAUCCGCCGACGUUCCUCCGAUGACUCGGCGGGCAGCUUCCGGGAAACCAAAGCUUUUGGGUUCCGGGGGAAGUAUGGUUGCAAAGCUGAAACUUAAAGGAAUUGACGGAAGGGCACCACCAGGAGUGGAGCCUGCGGCUUAAUUUGACUCAACACGGGACACCUCACCAGGCCCGGACACCGGAAGGAUUGACAGAUUGAGAGCUCUUUCUUGAUUCGGUGGGUGGUGGUGCAUGGCCGUU
rnacentral:rRNA from 1 species